GACGAACGCUGGCGGCGUGCCUAAUACAUGCCAGUUGAGCGAUGAAGAUUGGUGCUUGCACCAAUUUGAAGAGCAGCGAACGGGUGAGUAACGCGUGGGGAAUCUGCCUUUGAGCGGGGGACAACAUUUGGAAACGAAUGCUAAUACCGCAUAAUAACUUUAAACAUAAGUUUUAAGUUUGAAAGAUGCAAUUGCAUCACUCAAAGAUGAUCCCGCGUUGUAUUAGCUAGUUGGUGAGGUAAAGGCUCACCAAGGCGAUGAUACAUAGCCGACCUGAGAGGGUGAUCGGCCACAUUGGGACUGAGACACGGCCCAAACUCCUACGGGAGGCAGCAGUAGGGAAUCUUCGGCAAUGGACGAAAGUCUGACCGAGCAACGCCGCGUGAGUGAAGAAGGUUUUCGGAUCAUAAAACUCUGUUGGUAGAGAAGAACGUUGGUGAGAGUGGAAAGCUCAUCAAGUGACGGUAACUACCCAGAAAGGGACGGCUAACUACGUG
rnacentral:rRNA from 1 species